UACAGAGGGGGCAAGCGUUGUCGGAAUUACUGGGCGUAAAGGGCGCGUAGGCGGCCUGCUAAGUCGAACGUGAAAUCCCCGGGCUCAACCCGGGAACUGCGUCCGAUACUGGCAGGCUUGAAUUCGGGAGAGGGAUGCGGAAUUCCUGGUGUAGCGGUGAAAUGCGCAGAUAUCAGGAGGAACACCGGUGGCGAAGGCGGGUCUCUGGGCCGAUACUGACGCUGAGGAGCGAAAGCGUGGGGAGCGAACAGG
rnacentral:rRNA from 1 species